GCGAGAGUGGCGAAAUUGGCAGACGCGCUAGACUUAGGAUCUAGUCCGCUUGAAGCGGAUGGGGGUUCAAGUCCCCCCUCUCGCA
rnacentral:tRNA from 1 species